UACGUAGGGUGCAAGCGUUGUCCGGAUUCAUUGGGCGUAAAGAGCGUGUAGGCGGCCAGGUAGGUCGGUUGUGAAAACUGGAGGCUCAACCUUCAGAGGUCGACGGAAACCAUCUGGCUAGAGUCCGGGAGAGGAGAGUGGAAUUCCUGGUGUAGCGGUGAAAUGCGCAGAUAUCUGGAGGAACACCGGUGGCGAAGGCGGCGUUCUGGACCGAAACUGACACUGAGGAACGAAAGCCAGGGGAGCAAACGGG
rnacentral:rRNA from 1 species